rnacentral:piRNA from 1 species
GUGAUGAUGUUAGUCUUUUUGUCUA